CCUAGGGGGGCUGCAGUGGGGAAUAUUGGACAAUGGGCGAAAGCCUGAUCCAGCCAUGCCGCGUGUGUGAAGAAGGCCUUCGGGUUGUAAAGCACUUUCAGUGGGGAAGAAAGCCUUGGGGCUAAUACCCUCGAGGAAGGACAUCACCCACAGAAGAAGCACCGGCUAACUCCGUGCCAGCAGCCGCGGUAAUACGGAGGGUGCGAGCGUUAAUCGGAAUUACUGGGCGUAAAGCGCGCGUAGGCGGUCUGAUAAGCCGGUUGUGAAAGCCCCGGGCUCAACCUGGGAACGGCAUCCGGAACUGUCAGGCUAGAGUGCAGGAGAGGAAGGUAGAAUUCCCGGUGUAGCGGUGAAAUGCGUAGAGAUCGGGAGGAAUACCAGUGGCGAAGGCGGCCUUCUGGACUGACACUGACGCUGAGGUGCGAAAGCGUGGGUAGCAAACAGGAUUAGAUACCCCGGUAGUC
rnacentral:rRNA from 1 species